CCUCGGGGGGCUGCAGUGGGGAAUAUUGGACAAUGGGCGAAAGCCUGAUCCAGCCAUGCCGCGUGUGUGAAGAAGGCCUUCGGGUUGUAAAGCACUUUCAGUGGGGAAGAAAGCCUUGGGGCUAAUACCCUCGAGGAAGGACAUCACCCACAGAAGAAGCACCGGCUAACUCCGUGCCAGCAGCCGCGGUAAUACGGAGGGUGCGAGCGUUAAUCGGAAUUACUGGGCGUAAAGCGCGCGUAGGCGGUCUGAUAAGCCGGUUGUGAAAGCCCCGGGCUCAACCUGGGAACGGCAUCCGGAACUGUCAGGCUAGAGUGCAGGAGAGGAAGGUAGAAUUCCCGGUGUAGCGGUGAAAUGCGUAGAGAUCGGGAGGAAUACCAGUGGCGAAGGCGGCCUUCUGGACUGACACUGACGCUGAGGUGCGAAAGCGUGGGUAGCAAACAGGAUUAGAUACCCCAGUAGC
rnacentral:rRNA from 1 species